ACCUGCUCGGUGAAUAUAUUUUAACAGCCGCGGUACUCUGACCGUGCAAAGGUAGCAUAAUCAUUUGCCUUAUAAUUGAAGGCUAGUAUGAAUGGUUUGACGAGAAUUAAGCUGUCUCUUUUUAACUAAAUAUAACUUUAUUAAGAGGUGAAGAAGCCUGUAUUUUAUUGAAAGACAAGAAGACCCUAUCGAGCUUUAAAGAAUUUAGUAGAUUUACCAUAUAUUAAUAAAAAAGUAAAGCAACUAAAUAUUUUGGUUGGGGCGACUGAGGAACAAACAAAGCUUCCUUUAUGCUAAUUAAAACUUACAAGUAUUGAUCCAAUUUAUUUGAUUAAAGAAAUUAGUUACCGUAGGGAUAACAGCAUAAUCUCCUUUGAGAGUUCUCAUCGAAAAGGGGGUUUGUGACCUCGAUGUUGGACCAGAAUACCCAGAAGAUGCAGCCGUCUUCUAUGGUUGGUCUGUUCGACCAUUAAAAUUCUACGUGAUCUGAGUUCAGACCGGCGUGAGCCAGGUCAGUUUCUAUCUUCAAUUUUUAUAGUGGCCUUAGU
rnacentral:rRNA from 1 species